UCUCAUGGAACAGCACAGGCCCGCCAUUUCACUCAAUGCCUUCGCUGCUUUCCAAUCCUGCGGGUUUACUAAAAUAACACAGGCGGCGGUUAAACGGCAGGAUUAGUGUCGAGACAGGUAUGACAGAUGAGUCAGCCAACGAACCUUUAGAACGCGCGUUUAAAAAGAGUAACAAUGUAACGAUUCCGCGGGAGAUAUUCAGUAACAUCAUUUCUGGAUUCCUCAUCGUCUCGCGCAGUGGAUGACUGUAUUCCAGAAGGCUUCCCAUCUUUGUCUCCCCGUGUACUCGUUGCGUACGCUAGGAGGUCGACCUGGAACUGUGAACGAGGGUGGCAACUGAGUAGCAUCACGAUUUUAAAUACACAUAUUUACUAUUCCUUACUUGAUCGCUGGAGAGCUUUGAAGAUGUCUGGGCAGAGCAUUACGGACAGGAUAACUGCUGCUCAGCACAGCGUUACUGGAUCAGCCGUGUCCAAAACAGUGUGCAAGGCAACAACGCACGAAAUUAUGGGCCCUAAAAAGAAACAUUUGGAUUAUCUAAUACACUGUACCAAUGAGAUGAAUGUGAACAUUCCUCAGCUGGCAGACUCUUUGUUUGAGAGGACCACCAACACCAGUUGGGUCGUCGUGUUUAAGUCCCUAAUCACAACACACCACCUCAUGGUAUACGGGAACGAGCGGUUUAUUCAGUACUUGGCCUCCAGGAACACAUUAUUCAACCUCAGUAAUUUCCUGGACAAAAGUGGUCUACAAGGUUACGAUAUGUCAACAUUCAUUCGGAGGUAUAGUCGAUAUCUGAAUGAAAAAGCGGUUUCAUAUCGACAGGUGGCAUUUGACUUUACAAAAGUAAAGCGUGGGGUGGAUGGAGUGAUGAGAACCAUGAACACAGAGAAGCUUCUUAAAACCAUUCCCAUUAUACAGAACCAGAUGGAUGCGCUUCUUGACUUUAAUGUCAAUGCCAAUGAGCUCACCAAUGGGGUUAUCAAUGCAGCUUUCAUGCUUCUCUUCAAAGACUCAAUCCGACUUUUUGCAGCUUACAAUGAGGGGAUAAUUAAUUUACUGGAAAAGUAUUUUGACAUGAAAAAAGUUCAGUGCAAAGAGGGCCUGGAUAUCUACAAGAAAUUUCUUACCCGAAUGACCCGGAUUUCAGAGUUUCUUAAAGUGGCAGAGCAAGUGGGAAUAGACCGUGGGGACAUACCUGACCUGUCCCAGGCCCCCAGCAGUCUUUUGGAUGCUCUGGAGCAACACUUGGCUUCAUUAGAAGGAAAGAAGGUUAAAGACUCCACUGCCGCCAGCAGGGCAAGCACACUCUCCAAUGCGGUGUCAUCUCUGGCCAACACUGGCAUGUCUUUCACCAAAGUGGAUGAAAGAGAAAAGCAGGCAGCUCUGGAAGAGGAGCAGGCACGAUUGAAAGCUCUAAAGGAACAGAGGCUGAAAGAGCUCUCCAAGAGGCCUUCAUUUGCUACAACUGACACUUCUCCAGUCUCCACCACAGCAGCAUGCAUCAGCACAGCUCCUGCCAUAGACCUGUUCUGCACUCCCAGCUGCUCCAAUGGUGCCCUGAAGAUGGAGAGUGACCUCUUUGACCUGCAGACUAACUUUCAGCCAAGCAUGCAGCCGGGACCCUCAGUGGCCACGGCAUGGGGAGAUCCUUUCUCUUCUUCUGAAGCUGUCGAUGACUCCAUUCCAAACCUAAACCCUUUCCUAACCAAACUUGUUGUUGAUGGUGCACAUCUACCCGUUAUGUCAUCCGAUGGUGUUAGUUUCUCCUCUAGGACGUCAGGUCAUGAGAUAUUUGGUGAUCAGUACAAUCCCUUUAUUGAUUCAAGUUCAUCUGUAUCAACCGAUUACAAACGCACUGUGCGGAUAGAGCACUUAAUCUCAGACUCGUUUGGUCAAGCGUCUAUGGUCCAGCAUCUCCCAAACCCCUCUCCCUUCCAGUCUGAGCCCUCCACUGUUGCAGGCCUAUUCAGAGGGUAUGGAGCUCCACAGAUGCCUCCUCCACAGAGUUCAGGGGAGCUGCACGUUGACUUUGAGUCUGUAUUUGGUACUAAAGCUGCCUCCUCUAAUAGCCUGGAUACAGAUGCAGGGAUUUUGAAACCCACUGUGGCUGGAGCAAAUCAGUCCUCCAAUCAGAACCCAGAGAAGCUGGUAUCAGAUGACCUGGAUUCUUCAUUGGCCAACCUUGUAGGAAGUAAAUGUCAAUUAUUCAGAGAUCUGGGUAUUGGAAAUGGUACCACUAAAAAUGAUAUCCAUUGGAACCAACCAGGAGAGAAAAAAAUGACUGGUGGAAUGAACUGGCAACCCAAGACUGCUCCAUCUACUACAUGGAACCCUGUCUCCAUGCCACCAUCUAUCAUGGCUUUCCCUGCUACAACACCUACAGGAAUGAUGGGCUACGGCAUGCCUCCACAGUUGCCUUCCAUGACCAUGACGACCCAACCCACAAUGAUGUACACACAGCCAGUUAUGAGGCCAUCCAACCCUUUCGGAUCAGUGUCCAGUGCACAGCCCUCCGCUGCCUCUAGCCCCUCCAGUCAGAGUCCUCUCAGAGCCCCAGGACAAGACCCCUUUGCACAGCUCUCUCUCAAGGAUUUCUUGUAGAGCUUCGUCUUUUGUCUAGACUGUCUUUGGUACACUGCCUUUCCAAGACGAAAAUGCUCAGCCAUGGCGUUGACUGCUGAUUUAACUCAUGAUGCAGUUUAUGUAACACAACAUGAAGUUGCUCCCUGAUGUCAAACCAUUAAGCUCUGUCCUCUGUGCUGGGAUGCUAUCCAGAGGACCAAUCCCACAACAUACUUAGCGUCAAAGAUGUAAACCAAGUGUGUUGAAAGACUGGGAGCCUACUGCAAUCAUUUCGUAAUUUGUUUAAGAUGUCAAGUGAUGCUGCUGUUCAACCCACAAAGGGAUUCCUCAUACAUUUAUAAUAUGUUAAGAUAGGUAAGGGCACCGAGAGACUUGGAUAUUUUGUGUUUUUGAGAAGCUCUAGUUUGAUUUUCCUGCUUGAAUUUUUUUUUUUCUUCAACCGGGAGCAUUUAAUGAGAGGUAAUGUGGUAAAAGUUUACCUAAAUCAGACUGUAACUCAGCAUCUGAUAUAGUAUAUGUUAUAAAAUAGUAUCAGUAACUUUAUUUUACAUUUGAUCUUUUAGUUAUGACUUCAGUUGUAUUCACCGGUAGACACUUCUUGCGUGUUGUUUGUAUUUAUUUAUGAUUAAUGCCUAAAAAAUAAAACAGGAGAGUGUAUGAAGUACAUUGGGGAGGGGAAACUAUAAACAAUUCAACAUUAUUCAUGGGUGUUGGAUUGUUUAAUGAAGGUUAGAUUUUUAAAGUAGAUUUUAUGUAUAAAAAAAAAAAAAAAACCUUUAAGGUAAAUGAUAGAGCACUAACUAUU